AAUGAACGCUGGCGGCAGGCCUAACACAUGCAAGUCGAACGCCCCGCAAGGGGAGUGGCGCACGGGUGAGUAACGCGUGGGAAUAUGCCCUUCGGUUCGGAAUAACACAGGGAAACUUGUGCUAAUACCGGAUAAGAUCUACGGAUGAAGGAUUCAUCGCCGAAGGAGUAGCCCGCGUAGGAUUAGCUUGUUGGUGAGGU
rnacentral:rRNA from 1 species